rnacentral:rRNA from 1 species
AUUGAACGCUGGCGGCAUGCCUUACACAUGCAAGUCGAACGGCAGCACGGGGCAACCUGGUGGCGAGUGGCGGACGGGUGAGUAAUGCAUCGGAACGUGCCAUUGAGUGGGGGAUAACGUAGCGAAAGUUGCGCUAAUACCGCAUAUUCUGUGAGCAGGAAAGCAGGGGACCGCAAGGCCUUGCGCUCUUUGAGCGGCCGAUGGCAGAUUAGCUAGUUGGUGAGGUAACGGCUUACCAAGGCGACGAUCUGUAGCGGGUCUGAGAGGAUGAUCCGCCACACUGGAACUGAGACACGGUCCAGACUCCUACGGGAGGCAGCAGUGGGGAAUUUUGGACAAUGGGCGCAAGCCUGAUCCAGCCAUGCCGCGUGAGUGAAGAAGGCCUUCGGGUUGUAAAGCUCUUUCGGCCGGGAAGAAAUCGCAUGGGCCAAUACCCUGUGUGGAUGACGGUACCGGAAUAAGAAGCACCGGCUAACUACGUGCCAGCCGCCGCCGUAACAC